AUACAUUCAGGAAUUAUUGCCACACAUUUUAACAAUUUUCUUAAUGGAUUGAAUGUACUUUCUGUGAAUUCAUCCACCAUAAAGAAAAAGGAGAAUGAAACCGGAAAGAAAAUAUUUGCAGUUGCAAAAGAAUCCUGUAAAGUAAAUCAGGAGAAGAAACAGUGUUAAACAUGGUUAAUAUAAUGAGUAAUUGGAAGGUUGAAGCCAGUUUUGUUGCUGAAUAGCAAAUGUUUGGUACUGGUUGGAACUAUGAAAGUAAUACAGGUCUUAUGGUGGAUCAUCAUCCUUAAAAGAACAGCAGGUUAUUAGCAGCAGUUUUACAGAAAAAUGAAG